rnacentral:rRNA from 1 species
AGAGUUUGAUCCUGGCUCAGAGUGAACGCUGGCGGCGUGGAUUAGGCAUGCAAGUCGAGCGAUCUCGCAAGGGAUAGCGGCAAACGGGUGAGUAACACGUGGGUAAUUUGCCCUCAAGCCAGACAUAGCAUCGUGAAAACGGUGGUAAUAUUUGAUAAAACCAUGAGAGCGCAUGUUCCUUAUGGUUAAAGGCGGGGACCGAAAGGCCUGCCACUUGAGGAUGAGCCUGCGUCCUAUCAGCUUGUUGGUGGGGUAACGGCCUACCAAGGCGUAUGACGGGUAGCUGGUCUGAGAGGAUGGUCAGCCACACUGGGACUGAGACACUGCCCAGACUCCUACGGGAGGCUGCAGUCGAGAAUAUUUAGCAAUGGACGAAAGUCUGACUAUGCGACGCCGCGUGAGGGAUGAAGGUUUUCGGAUCGUAAACCUCUUUUGACAGGAAAGAACUGUCUCUGGUUAAUAGCUGGAGAUUUGACGGUACCUGUUGAAUAAGCCACGGUCGGAACGUGCCAGCAGCCGCGGUAAUAC